AGGCUGUAUAUCAAGUCAAGGGUGAAAUCCCCGGGCUCAACCUGGGAACUGCCUUUGAAACUGGUAAACUGGAGUAUGUGAGAGGGUGGCGGAAUUCCUGGUGUAGGAGUGAAAUCCGUAGAUAUCAGGAGGAACAUCAGUGGCGAAGGCGGCCACCUGGCACAAAACUGACGCUGAGGUGCGAAAGCGUGGGUAGCAAACAGGAUUAGAUACCCUGGUAGUCCACGCUGUAAACGAUGGAUACUGGGUGUUGGGAUGUAUGUCUCGGCGCCGUAGCUAACGCGUUAAGUAUCCCGCCUGGGGAGUACGGUCGCAAGGCUGAAACUCAAAGAAAUUGACGGGGGCCCGCACAAGCGGUGGAGUAUGUGGUUUAAUUCGAUGCAACGCGAAGAACCUUACCCAGGCUUGACAUCUAGGGAGCCUCUUUGAAAGAAGAGGGUGCUCUUCGGAGAACCCUAAGACAGGUGCUGCAUGGCUGUCGUCAGCUCGUGCCGUGGGGUGUUGGGUUAAGUCCCGCAACGAGCGCAACCCCUGUCCUUAGUUGCCAUCGAGUAAGGUCGGGCACUCUAAGGAGACCGCCCCGGUUAACGGGGAGGAAGGUGGGGACGACGUCAAGUCAUCAUGGCCCUUACGCCUGGGGCUACACACGUACUACAAUGGCGCAUACAAAGGAAGCGAGACCGCGAGGUGGAGCCAAUCUCAAAAAAUGCGUCCCAGUCCGGAUUGGAGUCUGCAACUCGACUCCAUGAAGUCGGAAUCGCUAGUAAUUCUGGAUCAGCAUGCCAGGGUGAAUGCGUUCCCGGGCCUUGUACACACCGCCCGUCACACCACGAAAGUCGGUUUUACCCGAAGCCGGUGAGCCAACAAGCAAUUGAGGCAUCCGUCUACGGUAGGCCCGAUGAUUGGGGUGAAGUCGUAACAAGGUAGCAAUCACUAGUGAAUUCGCGGCCGCCUGCAGGUCGACCAUAUGGGAGAGCUCCC
rnacentral:rRNA from 1 species